AUUUCCUCCACCAAACAGGAUCGUUAGAGUAAAGCUGCAUUUAUGGGAAAAUACAAAUGUUUUCUUUUUGCCAUUGGAAAGCCGGUUGUAAAUUAUUGGGAUGAUUUUCCUUAAAUGCCAAUAUUUGAUGCUAAGUGAUUUCUUAACCCGGUCUCCAUCGCUUGGGGAAGCGUGAGCCACAUAAGGAAACAUUUGUUCCUGCUGUCCUUGAAUGGAGUGCUUGUGCCGGAGGCAGUCAAAGAGAUACAAGAGGAGCGCACAUCCAAACAGUUUGAACACAAGCGCUCUGCUGUGAACCCCCCCUCUCUGUCCGAGUUCUGAAUGUCCUCCAGUCUUGUGAUCUCACGAUCGCGAGCGGCCCGAUGAAAUGACUGACGCCAUUGUCCUCGCCGCCGCAUCGCCGGACGCCGGCGGAGUCACGCAAUGCCGCGUGCAAAAAAAACAAAAAAACAUCGGCAACUUUUCAACCCCCGGCACACAAGACAUCAAGUACCAACAUUGACAGAAUCGCGUGCGGUUCAGGUACUCUGGGAGCGUACUGGAGUGGUGCCAGAUGCAGAGGCCUGGAAAAACUGGAGUGGAGCUUGCCCACUCUCCAAAGUCUCCAGUCCUUGCUUUGAGGCUUUGAAGGAAGCUCUGAUCCUCGCAAUACUGUAGGCAGCCUGGAGGUGUAGGAACAUGAAAGGGAAGUAAGCAAAGACAAGAGAGUCAUUCAUUCUUGGGAAGGUGAUUUCAUGCGCCAACAUCCUCAUGUGUUUGCGCGCCGCCACGGAUGAUCAUCAUUACUCACUCGCAGCGCUCACACGCAAGCCGCCUUCGUGCUGACACUUGACGAUUGACAACAAAUCUACUGACACCGUUAAUAAAACAAUGUCACACUUGGGGCUACUACAA